rnacentral:misc_RNA from 1 species
GAUGAAGAACGUAGCGAAAUGCGAUAAGUAGUGUGAAUUGCAGAAUUCAGUGAAUCAUCGAAUCUUUGAACGCACAUUGCGCCCCUUGGUACUCCAUGGGGCAUGCCUGUUCGAGCGUCAUUGCAACCCCUCAAGCACAGCUUGUGUGUUGGGCUCUCGUCCCCCGUGGACGGGCCUGAAAUGCAGUGGCAGCACCGAGAUACCGGUGUCUGAGUGUAUGGGCAUUGAUCAUCACUCGAUAGACCCGAUCGGCGCUGACCGUCAAACCACGAUUCCUCGGAAUCAUCCAGUUUUGACCUCGGAUCAGGUAGGAAUACCCGCUGAACUUAAGCAUAUCAAUAAGCGGAGGA